CCUACGGGCGGCUGCAGUGGGGAAUAUUGGACAAUGGGGGGAACCCUGAUCCAGCCAUGCCGCGUGUGUGAAGAAGGCCCUCGGGUUGUAAAGCACUUUCAGUGAGGAAGAACGCCUGGUGGUUAAUACCCAUCAGGAAAGACAUCACUCACAGAAGAAGCACCGGCUAACUCCGUGCCAGCAGCCGCGGUAAUACGGAGGGUGCGAGCGUUAAUCGGAAUUACUGGGCGUAAAGCGCGCGUAGGUGGCUUGAUAAGCCGGUUGUGAAAGCCCCGGGCUCAACCUGGGAACGGCAUCCGGAACUGUCAAGCUAGAGUGCAGGAGAGGAAGGUAGAAUUCCCGGUGUAGCGGUGAAAUGCGUAGAGAUCGGGAGGAAUACCAGUGGCGAAGGCGGCCUUCUGGACUGACACUGACUCUGAGGUGCGAAAGCGUGGGUAGCAAACAGGAUUAGAUACCCUGGUAGUC
rnacentral:rRNA from 1 species